UACGAAGGGGGCUAGCGUUGCUCGGAAUCACUGGGCGUAAAGCGCACGUAGGCGGAUUGUUAAGUCAGGGGUGAAAUCCUGGAGCUCAACUCCAGAACUGCCUUUGAUACUGGCGACCUUGAGUCCGGGAGAGGUGAGUGGAACUGCGAGUGUAGAGGUGAAAUUCGUAGAUAUUCGCAAGAACACCAGUGGCGAAGGCGGCUCACUGGCCCGGAACUGACGCUGAGACGCGAAAGCGUGGGGAGCAAACAGG
rnacentral:rRNA from 1 species